UUAUGGGAUCAGUGGUAGAGUGCUUGCCUAGCAUGCAACAGGUACUGGGUUCAAUCCCCAGUACAAAAA
rnacentral:tRNA from 1 species